UAUUGCUGGUGAUGAGGUGUUUUGUAUGGCUGGUGAUGAGGUGUUUUGUAUGGCUGGUGAUGAGGUGUUUUGUAUGGCUGGUGAUGAGGUGUUUUGUAUGGCUGGUGAUGAGGUGUUUUGUAUGGCUGGUGAUGAGGUGUUUUGUAUGGCUGGUGAUGAGGUGUUUUGUAUGGCUGGUGAUGAGGUGUUUUGUACGGCUGGUGAUGAGGUGUUUUGUAUGGCUGGUGAUGAGGUGUUUUGUAUGGCUGGUGAUGAGGUGUUUUGUAUGGCUGGUGAUGAGGUGUUUUGUAUGGCUGGUGAAGAGGUGUUUUGUAUGGCUGGUGAAGAGGUGUUUUGUAUGGCUGGUGAUGUGUUUUGUAUGGCUGGUGAUGAGGUGUUUUGUAUGGCUGGUGAUGAGGUGUUUUGUAUGGCUGGUGAUGAGGUGUUUUGUAUGGCUGGUGAUGAGGUGUUUUGUAUGGCUGGUGAUGAGGUGUUUUGUAUGGCUGGUGAUGAGGUGUUUUGUAUGGCUGGUGAUGAGGUGUUUUGUAUGGCUGGUGAUGAGGUGUUUUGUAUGGCUGGUGAUGAGGUGUUUUGUAUGGCUGGUGAUGAGGUGUUUUGUACGGCUGGUGAUGAGGUGUUUUGUAUGGCUGGUGAUGAGGUGUUUUGUAUGGCUGGUGAUGAGGUGUUUUGUAUGGCUGGUGAUGAGGUGUUUUGUAUGGCUGGUGAUGAGGUGUUUUGUAUGGCUGGU